rnacentral:rRNA from 1 species
UGGGGAAUUGUUCGCAAUGGGCGCAAGCCUGACGACGCAACGCCGCGUGGAGGAUGAAGGUCUUCGGAUUGUAAACUCCUGUUGACCGGGAAGAAUGGGUCUCGAGCGAAUAGCUCGGGGCAAUGACGGUACCGGUUGAGGAAGCCACGGCUAACUCUGUGCCAGCAGCCGCGGUAAUACAGAGGUGGCAAGCGUUGUUCGGAAUUACUGGGCGUAAAGGGCGCGUAGGCGGCCUUCUUAGUCGGACGUGAAAUCCCCAGGCUUAACUUGGGAACUGCGUCCGAUACUGGAAGGCUUGAGUGCGGGAGAGGGAUGUGGAAUUCCAGGUGUAGCGGUGAAAUGCGUAGAUAUCUGGAGGAACACCGGUGGCGAAGGCGGCAUCCUGGACCGACACUGACGCUGAGGCGCGAAAGCUAGGGGAGCAAACGGG